rnacentral:rRNA from 1 species
GACGUAGGGCGCGAGCGUUGUCCGGAUUUAUUGGGCGUAAAGAGCUCGUAGGCGGCUUGUCGCGUCGACUGUGAAAACUUGGGGCUCAACCCCAAGCUUGCAGUCGAUACGGGCAGGCUAGAGUUCGGUAGGGGAGACUGGAAUUCCUGGUGUAGCGGUGAAAUGCGCAGAUAUCAGGAGGAACACCGAUGGCGAAGGCAGGUCUCUGGGCCGAUACUGACGCUGAACGGCGAAAGCUAGGGGAGCAAACGGG